rnacentral:rRNA from 1 species
AACGAACGCUGGCGGCAGGCCUCAAACAUGCAAGUCUAGGGGGUGCAGCAAUGCAUCACCGGCGGACGGGUGCGUAACGCGUGGGAAUAUACCUAUUGGUUCGGAACAACUGCGGGAAACUGCAGCUAAUACCGAAUGUGCCCUAACGGGGAAAGAUUUAUCGCCAAUGGAUUAGUCCCGCGUAGGAUUAGCUAGUUGGUGGGGUAAGUGGCUCACCAAGGCUCCGAUCCUUAGCUGUUCUGAGAGGAAGAUCAGCCACACUGGGACUGAGACACGG